AUUGAACGCUGGCGGCAUGCCUUACACAUGCAAGUCGAACGGUAACGCGGGGCAACCUGGCGACGAGUGGCGAACGGGUGAGUAAUGCAUCGGAACGUGCCCAGUAGUGGGGGAUAGCCCGGCGAAAGCCGGAUUAAUACCGCAUACGACCUACGGGGGAAAGGGGGGGAUCGCAAGACCUCUCGCUAUUGGAGCGGCCGAUGUCAGAUUAGGUAGUUGGUGGGGUAAAGGCCUACCAAGCCGACGAUCUGUAGCUGGUCUGAGAGGACGACCAGCCACACUGGGACUGAGACACGGCCCAGACUCCUACGGGAGGCAGCAGUGGGGAAUUUUGGACAAUGGGCGCAAGCCUGAUCCAGCCAUGCCGCGUGCGGGAAGAAGGCCUUCGGGUUGUAAACCGCUUUUGUCAGGGAAGAAAUCUUUUGAGUUAAUACCUCGGAAGGAUGACGGUACCUGAAGAAUAAGCACCGGCUAACUACGUGCCAGCCGCCGCCGUAACAC
rnacentral:rRNA from 1 species